rnacentral:rRNA from 1 species
GACGAACGCUGGCGGCGUGCUUAACACAUGCAAGUCGAACGGAAAGGCCCUGCUUUUGUGGGGUGCUCGAGUGGCGAACGGGUGAGUAACACGUGAGUAACCUGCCCUUGACUUUGGGAUAACUUCAGGAAACUGGGGCUAAUACCGGAUAGGAGCUCCUGCUGCAUGGUGGGGGUUGGAAAGUUUCGGCGGUUGGGGAUGGACUCGCGGCUUAUCAGCUUGUUGGUGGGGUAGUGGCUUACCAAGGCUGUGACGGGUAGCCGGCCUGAGAGGGUGACCGGCCACAUGGGGACUGAGAUACGGCCCAGAGUCCUACGGGAGGCAGCAGUGGGGAAUAUUGCACAAUGGGCGGAAGCCGGAUGCAGCAACGCCGCGUGCGGGAUGACGGCCUUCGGGGUGUAAACCGCUUUCGCCUGUGACGAAGCGUGAGUGACGGUAAUGGGUAAAGAAGCACCGGCUAACUACGUG